rnacentral:tRNA from 1 species
AUUUGGAUGGCAGAGUUCAGUAAUUGCACAAGGUUUAAGCCCUUAUACCAGGGUGCAAAUCCCCUUCCAAAUAAAUU